rnacentral:rRNA from 1 species
UACGAAGGGGGCUAGCGUUGUUCGGAAUUACUGGGCGUAAAGCGCGCGCAGGCGGUCUUCCAAGUCAGUGGUGAAAGCCCGGAGCUCAACUCCGGAACUGCCAUUGAAACUGUUGGACUUGAGUACGAGAGAGGUGAGUGGAAUUCCCAGUGUAGAGGUGAAAUUCGUAGAUAUUGGGAAGAACACCGGUGGCGAAGGCGGCUCACUGGCUCGUAACUGACGCUCAGGCGCGACAGCGUGGGGAGCGAACAGG